rnacentral:rRNA from 1 species
AGUGAACGCUGGCGGCGUGCCUAAUACAUGCAAGUCGAACGGAGUGGCGAGCGGGUGAGUAAUGUAUAGCUAAACUGCCAUACACUAGAGGACAACAGUUGGAAAAGGAUGCUAAUACUCUAUAGUGUAGGAUGAGGCUAUAGUGUAUCAGCUAGUUGGUGAGGGAAUGGCUCACCAAGGCUAUGACGCAUAACUGGUCUGAGAAGAUGAUCAGUCACCCUGGAACUGAGACACCGUCCGGACUCCUUCGGCACGCAGCAGUAGGGAAUACUGCUCAAUGGGCGUAACCCUAAAGCGCCUACGCCGCGUGAAGCAUGAUACUUUUCGGAGCGUAAACUCCUUUUGUUAGGAAAGCGGUACCUAACGAAUAAGCACCGGCUAACUCCGUGCCAGCAGCCGCGGUAAUAC